rnacentral:rRNA from 1 species
CCUUCGGGAGCUGACGAGUGGCGGACGGGUGAGUAACGCGUAGGAAUCUGCCUCAUAGUGGGGGACAACGUGGGGAAACCCACGCUAAUACCGCAUACGCCCUACAGGGGAAAGCGGGGGCUCUUCGGACCUCGCGCUAUGAGAUGAGCCUGCGUUAGAUUAGCUAGUUGGUAGGGUAAAGGCCUACCAAGGCGACGAUCUAUAGCUGGUCUGAGAGGACGAUCAGCCACACUGGGACUGAGACACGGCCCAGACUCCUACGGGAGGCAGCAGUGGGGAAUAUUGGACAAUGGGCGCAAGCCUGAUCCAGCAAUACCGCGUGUGUGAAGAAGGCCCUAGGGUUGUAAAGCACUUUCAAUGGGGAGGAAAACCUGCCGGUCAAUACCCGGUAGCUUGACAUUACCUGUAGAAGAAGCACCGGCUAACUCCGUGCCRGCAGCCGCGGUAAUACGGAGGGUGCGAGCGUUAAUCGGAAUUACUGGGCGUAAAGCGUGCGUAGGCGGUUCGUUAAGUCAGAUGUGAAAGCCCUGGGCUCAACCUGGGAACUGCAUUUGAAACUGGCGAACUAGAGUUGAGUAGAGGGGAGUGGAAUUUCAGGUGUAGCGGUGAAAUGCGUAGAUAUCUGAAGGAACACCAGUGGCGAAGGCGACUCCCUGGACUCAAACUGACGCUGAGGUACGAAAGCGUGGGUAGCAAACAGGAUUAGAUACCCUGGUAGUCCACGCUGUAAACGAUGUCAACUAGCCGUUGGUCCUAUUUACAGGAUUAGUGGCGCAGCUAACGCAUUAAGUUGACCGCCUGGGGAGUACGGCCGCAAGGUUAAAACUCAAAUGAAUUGACGGGGGCCCGCACAAGCGGUGGAGCAUGUGGUUUAAUUCGAUGCAACGCGAAGAACCUUACCUACCCUUGACAUCCAUGGAAUCAA